AAAUUAUUUUUUUAUUAUAUUUAUUUAGUUUAUUUUAAUCAAGAAAGAUUUAUUUUAUUAUUUAAUGAAAAAUUUAUAUUAAUUAUAGAUGAUUUUACUGUAAAGGUUGUUUUAAUUAUUUAAAAGAAUAAUUUUUUUUUAGUACCUUGUGUAUCAGGGUUGAUUAAUACUUUUUUAUAUUAAUUUUUCUCGAAUUUAAGAGAUUUAGGUAUAUAUAUAUAUUAAAAUGGCAUAUUUAUUUAUAAUAUGUACCUGGAAGUGAUAUGUUAUACGAUCUUAAAUAUAUCUAGUUUUUUAAGAAAUAAAUUUAAUUUAGAUUUAAUAAAAACUAUUUGAUUUUUUCAUUUAUUUUUAGUUAAGUUUAAUAAAUUAAGGGAUUAGCUUUAAUUUAUAUUUUUAUUAUUUAUUUUAAUAUAUUAAUAAGUAGGAUUGAAAGUUUCCAUCUUAAAUGAUGUUAUUAUCAAUUUAUGUUUAAUUAAAAUUUAUUUAUGUAUAAUUUGUUUAUUAAAAUUUAUUUUUUAAUAUUUAUUGAUUAGGAAUAAUGAUUAAAUUAGUAUAUUUAUUUUUGUUAAUAAUGAGUUUUUUUAGGUUAAAUUUAGUAACUCGGCAAAUUAGUGUUCACCUGUUUAUUAAAAACAUGUCUUUAUGAUUAUAAUAUAAAGUCUAACCUGCCCAAUGAUUUAAAUUGAAUGGCCGCAGUACUUUGACUGUGCUAAGGUAGCAUAAUCAUUAGUUUUUUAAUUGAAAGCUGGAAUGAAGGGUUGGAUGAAACACUUACUUUCUUUAUUUAAUUUUUUUAUAACUUUACUUUUAAGUUAAAAGGCUUAAAUUUUAUAGAGGGACGAGAAGACCCUAUAGAGUUUAAUUGAUUUUUAAUUAUUUUAAUUAGGUAUUUACUUAAGUAGUUAAUUAUUAAUUUGAUUGGGGUGAUUGAAAAAUUUUAAUAACUUUUUCUUUUUUUUUACAAAAAUUUUUGGUUAUUUGAUCCCUAUUAAGGAUUAUAAGAUAAAACUACCUUAGGGAUAACAGCGUUAUACAUUUUAGAGUUCUUAUUGAAAAAUGUAAUUGCGACCUCGAUGUUGGAUUAAGAUUUAUUUAUGGUGCAGAAGCUUUAUGAUUAGGUCUGUUCGACCUUUAAAAUCUUACAUGAUCUGAGUUUAGACCGGUGUGAGCCAGGUCGGUUUCUAUCUUCUAAUAGUUAAAAAAUUUUAGUACGAAAGGAUUAGA
rnacentral:rRNA from 1 species